rnacentral:lncRNA from 1 species
CUCAUUCAUUUGACAGCCCUCACACCAAAGCACAUCUCCUGCUACAGGCACAUCUCAGCCGAGCCAUGCUACCCUGCCCAGAUUAUGACACUGAUACCAAAACAGUCUUGGACCAAGCUCUCAGAGUAUGUCAGGCAAUGCUGGACGUGGCUGCAAACCAGGGCUGGCUGGUGACUGUCCUGAAUAUCACCAACCUGAUUCAGAUGGUGAUCCAGGGUCGGUGGUUAAAGGACUCUUCUCUUCUUACACUACCAAACAUAGAAAACCAUCAUCUUCACCUUUUCAAGCAUGGAAUUUCUUAUCUCACUUGCCAGUGAUAAAUGUUGGCAUAAGUGUUAAAGGCUCGUGGGAUGACUUAGUUGAAGGACAUAAUGAACUCUCUGUCUCAACUCUGACUGCAGACAAACGAGAUGACAACAAAUGGAUCAAAUUGCAUGCUGACCAAGAGUAUGUGCUUCAAGUGAGCUUGCAGAGAGUCCACUUUGGGUUCCACAAGGGAAAGCCAGAGAGCUGUGCAGUUACUCCUCGAUUUCCCAAAUCAAAAGACGAAGGAUGGUUUUUGAUAUUAGGAGAAGUGGAUAAGAGAGAACUUAUUGCUUUGAAAAGAGUAGGAUAUAUUCGAAAUCAUCAUGUUGCUUCCCUUUCUUUUUAUACCCCUGAAAUACCUGGAAGGUAUAUCUACACAUUAUAUUUCAUGAGUGACUGCUACCUUGGCCUGGACCAGCAGUAUGACAUCUAUCUCAACGUUACACAAGCGAGUCUUUCUGCACAGGUCAACACCAAGGUCUCUGAUUCCCUGACUGACCUGGCAUUAAAGUAACUUGACCUGAACAAUCCAUUUGAAAGGAGUGGCUAAGAAUUCUCUCUGUUCAGUCAUCUAGACAAAUCGAAUUACUUGAUGUUUGCCUUGAAAGAAUCAACUUCUAACCUCAACCAUCCAGGAAAUUGACAGUGGCUGCAGUAUUGACUCCAGUGACAUAAAGUUAACCACAGUGGCCUUUUAACAAAUGUUGCCUUUUAUAAUGUUAUCUUUAUGAGUUUCUUGAUAUGUAAGAUGAAAAAGCAUUUAGAAUAAUCUUUUAAUUUGUGUAUAUUUGGGAUGAUAUUUAGGAGCUAUCAAUCAAAUUUUACAUCUCACAAUGUACUGUUUACAUGGAUAUUGGCUGCUUUUUUUAAGGAAAACCACAUUGAGAUGUGACAAGUGUUAGGACUUGUCACAGAUUUCUAACUCUGCCGCAUAAACUAUAAAUCUGUAAGGUGGUACACAGCGUGUCUUGUUAGCAAAAUUUAUACUUUGAUAUGAUCACAUGUAGAAGUAGCUUCAAGAAUUUCUUGUAGUCAUAAAUGUUUAAUAAUAUAUGAUGUAAAAUUAUAUUAUGGAGCCUAAUGAUGAUAACAAAGAAAACAAUAUACUGAUCUUAGAAAAUGUAGACAUGGUUAACUGGGAAAUAAAAUAUAGAGUGGCACUUCAAG